AGUGAACGCUGGCGGUAGGCCUAACACAUGCAAGUCGAACGGCAGCACAGGAGAGCUUGCUCUCUGGGUGGCGAGUGGCGGACGGGUGAGGAAUACAUCGGAAUCUACUCUGUCGUGGGGGAUAACGUAGGGAAACUUACGCUAAUACCGCAUACGACCUACGGGUGAAAGCAGGGGAUCUUCGGACCUUGCGCGAUUGAAUGAGCCGAUGUCGGAUUAGCUAGUUGGCGGGGUAAAGGCCCACCAAGGCGACGAUCCGUAGCUGGUCUGAGAGGAGGAGCAGCCACACUGGAACUGAGACACGGUCCAGAGUCCUACGGGAGGCAGCAGUGGGGAAUAUUGGACAAUGGGCGCAAGCCUGAGCCAGCCAUACCGCGUGGGUGAAGAAGGCCUUCGGGUUGUAAAGCCCUUUUGUUGGGAAAGAAAUCCAGCUGGCUAAUACCCGGUUGGGAUGACGGUACCCAAAGAAUAAGCACCGGCUAACUUCGUGCCAGCAGCCGCCGUAA
rnacentral:rRNA from 1 species